rnacentral:misc_RNA from 1 species
GAACCAGUUUCAAAGCGUUCACGAAUGUGAAGGACUUGUUAAAAUCCAAAGGCGAUCAGCCGUAGGGAGCACUUCAAACGCACAGCGGCGGCAGCAGCAGUACAGCACACUAUGAAGUAUCCACAUUCGCGGCAGCAGGCAGAGGCAGGCACGACCGAAUGAUCGGUGAAAACGACAAGCGUCAACGGACAACUCACACGUUCAUCAAAAACCUCGCGUAAACAAGUACACGGUCGUCCCGUUAAAAAUAAAAUUCCACCUCUGCAAUUGUUCCUACUGCGUACAUUAAUUCUCACGAGAUGUUCCAAGUCGAAAAGUCGAGUCUCGAGAUCCGUUCACAUGCUCGCGUUAAAAAAGGCAUCAGGCACUUGCUGCUCCAAUCUCCGAUAAAGAGGCAUUUUCAUAAAGUGCUUUACCAAAAAAUGUACAAGGCAACAUAGACAACCAUGGCACCAUGUUUACAACCCAGCCCUAAAUAUAACAAAAGAAAUAUAAACAAAAAGAAUUUUUAACAUGUUAUAUAACUAAUGGUAUAAAAUUUUAUUGAAUUAUGUAUGAUCCAUUUUGUUUAGAAAUUCAAUAAAGUAAUAUGAAACAAAAAAUGUUGUGUAUUUAUUAUUUCCUUAUAAAACAACAAAAGAAACUUUUGAGACAACCUAAUAAUUAAUUA